rnacentral:rRNA from 1 species
CUCGUAGGUGGCCAACUAAGUCAGACGUGAAAUCCCCAGGCUCAACCUGGGAACUGCGUCUGAUACUGGAUGGCUUGAAUUCGGGAGAGGGAUGCAGAAUUCCAGGUGUAGCGGUGAAAUGCGUAGAUAUCUGGAGGAAUACCGGUGGCGAAGGCGGCAUCCUGGACCGAGAUUGACACUGAGGAGCGAAAGCCGAGGGGAGACAAACG